rnacentral:rRNA from 1 species
GUCCAGAAUAGAAUUUUAGUUCAACUUUAAAUUUUCCUAAAGGUCACCUAGCCCUAAUGAAAGUUUAAAUGUUAUUCUAAAGAGGGACAGCUCUUUAGAAACAGGAUACAGCCUUCUAUAAAGAGUAAGUCAUUUUAAAUCCAUAGUUGGCCUAAAAGCAGCCAUCAAUUAAGAAAGCGUUAAAGCUCAACAAUCAAAAUCUAACUUAAUCCCUACAUUUAAAAACGAACUCUUAUAACUUCCUAACUGGACUAAUCUAUAAAUUUAUAGAAGAAAUAAUGCUAAUAUGAGUAACAAGAAUUUAAUUCUCCUUGCACAAGCCUAUAUCAGAUCGGAUGCCCACUGAUAGUUAACAACUAAUAAUAGAAAAACUCUACAAAUUAGUCCUCUAUUAACUUUUACUGUUGACCCGACACAGGUGUGCACUAUAGGAAAGAUUAAAAGAAGGAAAAGGAACUCGGCAAACUUUAACCCCGCCUGUUUACCAAAAACAUCACCUCUAGCAUUACUAGUAUUAGAGGCACUGCCUGCCCAGUGACAAACGUUUAACGGCCGCGGUAUCCUGACCGUGCAAAGGUAGCAUAAUCACUUGUUCCUUAAUUAGGGACUAGCAUGAAUGGCAACACGAGGGUUCAACUGUCUCUUCCUUCCAAUCAGUGAAAUUGACCUCCCCGUGAAGAGGCGGGGAUAAAACAAUAAGACGAGAAGACCCUAUGGAGCUUUAAUUUUUUAAUUCAAUAUUUUCACGACUUCACUCCACAGGAGCCUAACCAAGAAAAUUUCUGAAUUAAAAAUUUUGGUUGGGGUGACCUCGGAGCAAAAACCAACCUCCGAAUGAUUGAAGCCUAGACCCAACAAGUCAAAGCAUUAAAAAUCAUAAAUUGACCCAAAUCCUUUUUGAUCAACGGAACAAGUUACCCUAGGGAUAACAGCGCAAUCCUAUUUUAGAGUCCCCAUCGACAAUAGGGUUUACGACCUCGAUGUUGGAUCAGGACAUCCCAAUGGUGCAACCGCUAUUAAAGGUUCGUUUGUUCAACGAUUAAAG